rnacentral:lncRNA from 1 species
UAAUGAUCCAAACAAACCCAUCAUUAUUAUUGAAAAGUUGAACACAAUGGACUCCAACCACAUUAAUUCUUAGUGAUCAAGAGUUUUCAUAGGAGAGUACCAACCUUUACAGAAGCAUCCUACAACAUGUUUAUUCUAUAGGAUAUGCAGAAUUAUCUUAUUACAUAAAAAUCAACCUUGACUACAAGAACUGAGCCUGAACAUUGGUAAGUGACAUGUACAGGGACCAAGGAAAUCAACAAAUCUGCCACUUAAAAGAAAGCUGAGAUUAAUAUGUAGGAUUAUUUC